AUUGAACGCUGGCGGCAUGCUUUACACAUGCAAGUCGAGCGGCAGCGCGAGGGCAACCUUGGCGGCGAGCGGCGAACGGGUGAGUAAUACAUCGGAACGUAUCCUUAAGUGGGGAGUAGCCCGGCGAAGCCGGAUUAAUACCGCAUAUUCUGUACGCAGGAAAGCGGGGGACCGUGAAAGGGCCUCGCGCUUGAGGAGCGGCCGAUGUCCGAUUAGCUAGUUGGUGAGGUAAAGGCUUACCAAGGCGACGAUCGGUAGCUGGUCUGAGAGGAUGAUCAGCCACACUGGGACUGAGACACGGCCCAGACUCCUACGGGAGGCAGCAGUUAGGAAUUUUGGGCAAUGGGCGCAAGCCUGACCCAGCAACGCCGCGUGGGUGACGAAGGCC
rnacentral:rRNA from 1 species